rnacentral:rRNA from 1 species
GACGAACGCUGGCGGCGUGCCUAACACAUGCAAGUCGAACGGAGAUACUUUUGAGGAGACUUCGGUCAACGAGACUGUAUCUUAGUGGCGGACGGGUGAGUAACGCGUGAGCAAUCUGCCUUUCAGAGGGGGAUAACAUUCUGAAAAGAAUGCUAAUACCGCAUAACGUAUUCGGAUGGCAUCUUCUGAAUACCAAAGGAGCAAUCCGCUGAAAGAUGAGCUCGCGUCUGAUUAGAUAGUUGGUGGGGUAACGGCCUACCAAGUCGACGAUCAGUAGCCGGACUGAGAGGUUGAACGGCCACAUUGGGACUGAGACACGGCCCAGACUCCUACGGGAGGCAGCAGUGGGGAAUAUUGCACAAUGGGGGGAACCCUGAUGCAGCCAUGCCGCGUGUGUGAAGAAGUAUUUCGGUAUGUAAAGCUCUAUCAGCAGGGAAGAAAAUGACGGUACCUGACUAAGAAGCCCCGGCUAACUACGUGCCAG